CGGCGCUGCGCGGUCCCAACGGCCACAACGGCCCCGCCCCCAACGCGUCCCGCCUGGGCGGGGCGCAGAGCCACACCCCCUCCCCGCCCCCGGGUGGGAGGGGCAGACGGGGCGGGCUCGGCCCACGUGACCCCGCCCCCCCUCCCCCGCCCGCUCCGCCAUGUUGUUUCUUCCUUCCCCGGCGGCCGGCAGUGGUCGCGGCUUCGGGCAGCGGCGCAGCCCCGGCUCGGGACCGGCGGCAGUCUCCACCCCGCGGGCAGAUGCUGAAUGAUGAUUUAAACUGAACAAUUAAGGUCUAGAAAACCAG
ensembl:lncRNA